rnacentral:rRNA from 1 species
GACGAACGCUGGCGGCGUGCCUAAUACAUGCAAGUCGAACGCACUCUCGUUUAGAUUGAAGGAGCUUGCUCCUGAUUGAUAAACAUUUGAGUGAGUGGCGGACGGGUGAGUAACACGUGGGUAACCUGCCCUAAAGUGGGGGAUAACAUUUGGAAACAGAUGCUAAUACCGCAUAAAACCUAACACCGCAUGGUGUAGGGUUGAAAGAUGGUUUCGGCUAUCACUUUAGGAUGGACCCGCGGUGCAUUAGUUAGUUGGUGAGGUAAAGGCUCACCAAGACCGUGAUGCAUAGCCGACCUGAGAGGGUAAUCGGCCACACUGGGACUGAGACACGGCCCAGACUCCUACGGGAGGCAGCAGUAGGGAAUCUUCCACAAUGGACGAAAGUCUGAUGGAGCAACGCCGCGUGAGUGAAGAAGGUUUCGGAUCGUAAAACUCUGUUGUUGGAGAAGAAUGUAUCUGAUAGUAACUGAUCAGGUAGUGACGGUAUCC